CUCGGCUGAAGUCUUGACAAACAAGUUCAAUCAGGUCAAACUGGGAACCUUGUAGAAAUAAUGUACUUUUUGGAUUUCCUUUUCUCUUGUGACUGGGACAUUUGUUCUCGUUCACCCUGGGGAGAAUGCAGCACUCGGUUGCACGACAUUUUUUUGAAGAAUCCUAUCUCAGAUGCUACCUGGCCUGCUGAGGUGCUUUGCAGGAUGUUCGAGAGAUCUACAGCCCAGACAAAGGCCCUUCUGCCUGACGAACCCACAUUAAGAUGCUGAAGAAGGGUCCCGACACAAGACGUCAGUGUUCCUGCUCCUCUGAUGCUGCCCGGCCUGCUGCGUGUCUCCAG